CCCGACUGCUAUCAGAGUGGGACUAAGCCAUGCGAGUCAACGCAGUAAUGCGUGGCACACGGCUCAGUAACACGUAGUCAACAUGCCCAGGGGACGGUGGAUAACCUCGGGAAACUGAGGAUAGACCGCGAUAGGCCAAGGUUUCUGGAAUGGACACUGGCUGAAACCUACAUGGCCCCUGGAUUGGACUGCGGCCGAUCAGGCUGUUGGUGAGGUAAUGGCCCACCAAACCUGUAACCGGUACGGGCUUUGAGAGAAGGAGCCCGGAGAUGGGCACUGAGACAAGGGCCCAGGCCCUAUGGGGCGCAGCAGGCGCGAAAAUUCUGCAAUAGGCGAAAGCUUGACAGAGUUACUCUGAGUGAUGCCCGCUAAGGGCAUCUUUUGGCACCUCUAAAAAUGGUGCAGAAUAAGGGGUGGGCAAGUCUGGUGUCAGCCGCCGCGGUAAUACCAGCACCCCGAGUGGUCGGGACGAUUAUUGGGCCUAAAGCAUCCGUAGCUUGUUCUGCAAGUCUUCCGUUAAAUCCACCUUGCUCAACAAGAUGGGCUGCCGGAGAUACUACAAAAGCUAGGGAGCAGGAGAGGUAGACGGUAUUCUUGUGGGUAGGGGUAAAAUCCUUUGAUCCAUAGAGGACCACCAGUGGCGAAGGCGGUCUACCAGAACGCGUUCGACGGUGAGGGAUGAAAGCUGGGGGAGCAAACCGGAUUAGAUACCCGGGUAGUCCCAGCUGUAACGAUGCAAACCCGGUGAUGCAUUGGCUUAUGGCCAAUGCAGUGCCGCAGGGAAGCCGUUAAGUUUGCCGCCUGGGAAGUACGGACGCAAGUCUGAAACUUAAAGGAAUUGGCGGGGGAGCACCACAAGGGGUGAAGCCUGCGGUUCAAUUGGAGUCAACGCC
rnacentral:rRNA from 1 species